GCUCACUCAACGUGGGAAGCCCUGUGAAUCUUCUCUCUGCCUAAACAGAAUGUGAAACUUCCCUGGGACUGUUGGGUUCUGUAUCCUCCCUGCUCUGGUGGGGCUUGAAGUUACGCCUUUCCUGGAUGGACAUGCGGGCUGUGCUAUGUCUGGAGAGGCACCGGGAAUCCAGUCACUGAGGCAUGCUCACCGUGGCUUCAACUGUGGGCAUUGAUUUCUUCCCUGAAACCCUGGAGGAGACACAUCGGGGCUGUUCUCCUGGCUUCUUCAGAUGUAUUCUUAGAGAUGGGAGUCCUGGGCCAAAGGCAGGUGGCAGCGUCCCCGUCCUGUACCCAUCCCGCUGCCUUCUAGGAAGCUGGGGCUGGGUCGUGUGCCCACAUCCCAUGGAUGGAGAGUUCUGUUUCACUCACCAUCAGCAGCACAAAGCGUCAUCAUUUGAAAUGUUUCCUUCAUGCUUCUAGAAGAAAGGUGUUUUCAUUUUAACUCCAGUCGCAUGGUGCUCACCUGCUGUGGUGCGUGUCUGUCUCCGCCAGCCGCAGGCACCAGCACGGGAGGCUUGUGUGGCCCAAUUCUGGCAUUGAUAUUUGUGGGAACGUGGGUGGACAGGGCCCGAGCAAAGUUUGCUAGUCCCUGAGAAAACAGCCCAAGAGGACACAUCUCUUCCUCUUCCACUGGCCAUGGUCAGAUCUGAAUGUGACGGUGGGACCAUCGCAGCCUCUCUCGACCCAGGGUCCUGGCUGCCUGAGACGCGCAGAGCUCCUGAACUAACCAACCCUGAGCUCGCCCUGCCCGGAUCUGCACCUCCGUUCUUUAAGGAAAUGCACGUGGUGCUGCUCCAGCCGUCAGGCUUGUGCGUGUUCUCUGCGGCUGGCGCCUCCCGCGUGCCGUCCUGUGGCCUCGCCCUCCUCCUACUGCUGCUCGGCAGCUGGGGGCUUCUCUCCAGGGUCGUGUGAUGGCCUUUUGAAAAAUGUAACCAAUAAACUCAGACACCUGGAAGCUGCAAAGUGUGUA
rnacentral:lncRNA from 1 species